AGUGGCUCAUUCACCUUCUUAUGUCAGCCCCUUCGGGACGUGCUACAUAAACUUCGAAUGACGCACAACAAGGUGCCUGCCGUCCAGCUUCUGAUAUCUUUGCAUAUCAACCAUCGGGCGAAACGUUGAGUUAGGCACCGCCUU
rnacentral:sRNA from 1 species